GCCUUAGCUUGGUGAUAGAGCACCUGCUUUGCAUGCAGAAGGCCCACAGGUUCAAUCCCUGGCAUCUCCA